CUUUUUUUAUCUACACUGUCAAUGUUCAAAUGUAUAUUAUGCAUUAUACUUGAUUUCAUUGCUAUUGCACCAAACGAACGAUUAUAAAAUAGCAUAACGAAUGUGUACGUGAAAAAUGUAUAAGAAGAAUAACAAUGAUUGUGCUUGCUUGAAUUUCAAAAGUUUAUGCUUUCGUGCUUCAUGGCUUGGAACAAAUCGGAAAAGAGAUAUCCUGUAUUGAAAGAAGAUAAAACAAAGCAAUAUUGUCUACAACUUUAAACCGUAAUUUCGUUUUAAUUGGAAACGCGAAGGAAAAUUGAAAUAUUACAUCUCGAAAGCCACAUUCUGCUAAGAUUAAUUAAAAUAGAAUUUUGACGUCCAAUUCAUAAUACAUUAAUUUAAAUCAUUGCAACGAACGAAUUGCAGAAAUAUAUUUCACUAUUCUAUCAACAAAGAUGAAAGAGAAACAGUCGGAGACGAGAACAAUCAGAGGUUAAUGGAAAAGCUUUACAUUAAUAUCAAAUUGAAUAAUAAGUCUGUUGAUGUCGACUAUGACUUAAAAAAAGUUCAAUUAUCUUUUCGACAGAAUUACAAAGGAACGUUUCAUUUUUAUCAUCUAACCACUAAUAACAUGAAAUAUUGUACUCAAAUGAAUUAAUUGAAAGUAUCACUCAUGUCCAGAAACAUGUUGAUACAAACAUUUGAAGGACAAUUGUAAAUGUAUGAAUUAAAAUUAAUAAUAAAUUAGAAGUCAUCAACUUUAAAAAAAAAAAAAAACA
rnacentral:lncRNA from 1 species